rnacentral:rRNA from 1 species
UACGAAGGGGGCUAGCGUUGCUCGGAAUUACUGGGCGUAAAGGGAGCGUAGGCGGACAGUUAAGUCAGAGGUGAAAGCCCAGGGCUCAACCCUGGAAUUGCCUUUGAUACUGAUUGUCUUGAGUAUGGGAGAGGUAUGCGGAACUCCGAGUGUAGAGGUGAAAUUCGUAGAUAUUCGGAGGAACACCAGUGGCGAAGGCGGCAUACUGGCCCAUUACUGACGCUGAGGCUCGAAAGCGUGGGGAGCAAACAGG